UUGAACCUACAACGCUUAUUAUAAUUCCCAUAAAUUUGAUUAGUUUUUCUGUACAAAAAUAUCUUCAGCUAUGGGUAGCUCUAAGGUCGUGAUAGUCCGCAGCACUGUCGUCUUUCGUCGUGCGCCCAAGAAAGGAUUUCCGGGUGUGAAUAUAGCCAACAUUGUCAAGUUCAUCAAAACCAUAGAUGCACCCAUCAAAAUGAAGUAAAGUAUUUACAGCUGAAAGAAGUCUCAAAAUUCCCAAUAUGUUUAAAUGUUAAAUAAAAUUUCCAUGUGCUAAAAUCGAAAGCUUUUGUACCACUGUGGCACUGGAUUGAGGACAGGACGUUGGGCAAACAACUUCAUUCAGUUUCAGUUCACAUUAAUGCAGCGUGAAUUAAGUGUCAAGGACAUUUUUUGGUUUUCGCAACCAGCAGGACGGCACGAUGCAACAUGUUUCCAGUGUCUCUCUACAUGUCCUUGCCUCCCAGUGUGUGUCCUGUGUGUUUGUCUGUGUGUGUGUGUGUGUUUUGGGUGACCGAAAAUGCGUUGCAACAUUCAAAUGAACGGACAAUCGGACUUUGGACUUCAUCAUCAUCAUCAUCAUGACGAUGGUGGUGGGGUGGGGCGCUCACACUUUCGGUGUGGCAGUGGCAGUGGCAGUGGCAGGCAGCCAUCAGAGGCAGUUAUGCCUGUCAAGAUGAAUGCCAUAUCAUCGCCGCACCGAAAAUGGUGUCAAAACGUCACCAACGGCGGUUCCCUUCAGUCUGUGUCCUUCCCUGGCAGCAGUAAAACUGCAAACAGAAAACAGGACCUCCUCCAUCGCUCGGUGUUGUUAUCCGGAUGAAUUAUGAGUUGUGCAUGGGAUCCAUGGCUCGCUCCAUGGAUCGAAGGACGUGUGUGUGCGUGGCAUCCUUCGUCUCGUCUCUCGGCAUUCCAGCCAAUUCGUCACGUGGUGCACGCACGCAAUGGAGGUCCUGGAGGAAAAACGAGGACCCAACGACCACAGCAAAAUUAAAUGCUAAACGAAGACAUUAACAAUGCAGGACACAGGACAGGGGACAAGGGCUCUUCCUCCGCCUUCUCCUCUCUGGCUGCAAUGCAGAUUGGAGUUAAUGUUGGCUGGAGGGGGGGAUGGAGAGUGUUGCAUGAAAAGAGCAGGCCCUCAUAGAAGGUUUAUGGCAAUUUGAACAGAGCAGAAACCUUUGGUUCUAUGAUUUCUAAACACGGGUCUUGCGUCAUGCGGCAGCGCCACUCGGUUUUACUGUUUUUCUUGCGAUUUGUGCUAUUUCUCCCUUGGGUUCUCUUCCAAAUCUUCACAUGCAAAUCCCAGGCAAUUCUUUUCUAUUUCUCUUAAACCCUCUUGAAGUCUUCUGUAGAAACGUCUUCUUUAAACCCCCCUCCAUUCCUCUUCUCACCAUUCUUCCUUCCACUUCGAUCUUCUUAGACGUUCAGCGUUGAAACUCGAUCCGAGGCGGCCACAUGCCACAAUUUAUUGCACGGGUCUCGUUCAUCAAUUGUGACAACGGCUCAAGUAAUUUCCUCGGACAUUUCACGCCAAACUGAACGCAGACGACACCCAAUCAAAGAGCCAAGGAACCCAAAAA